rfam:Felis catus isolate Cinnamon breed Abyssinian chromosome E1, whole genome shotgun sequence.
GUCUGGGUGGCUCAGUCGGUUGAGCAUCUGACUUCUGCUCAUAGUUUGUGAGUUCAAGCCCCGCAUCGGGCU